GGUCGGUUUGGCCGGAUUUCACACAGGUGUUGCAUGGCUGUCGUCAGCUCGUGUCGUGAGAUGUUGGGUUAAGUCCCGCAACGAGCGCAACCCUCAUCCUUAGUUACCAUCAAGUUAUGCUGGGGACCUUAAGGAAACUGCCAGUGAUAAACUGGAGGAAGGUGGGGAUGAUGUUAAGUCAUCAUGGCCCUUAUGGAGGGGGCUACACACGUGCUACAACGGUGAUUACAAUGGGCUGCAAGGUCGCAAGGCUGAGCUAAUCCUAAAAAAUCAUCUCAGUUCGGAUUGUUCUCUGCAACUCGAGAGCAUAAAGUUGGAAUCGCUAGUAAUCGUGGAUCAGCAUGCCACGGUGAAUACGUUCUCGGGUCUUGUACACACUGCCCGUCACGCCAUGGUAAUUGGUUUCACUCGAAGCU
rnacentral:rRNA from 1 species